rnacentral:tRNA from 1 species
GUCGUCGUGGCCGAGUGGUUAAGGCGACAGACUUGAAAUCUGUUGGGAUAUUCCCGCGCAGGUUCAAAUCCUGCCGACUACG